rnacentral:rRNA from 1 species
AACGAACGCUGGCGGCAUGCCUAACACAUGCAAGUCGAACGAGAUCUUCGGGUCUAGUGGCGCACGGGCGCGUAACGCGUGGGAAUAUGCCCCUUGGUUCGGAAUAACAGUUGGAAACGACUGCUAAUACCGGAUGAUGACGAAAGUCCAAAGAUUUAUCGCCAGAGGAUGAGCCCGCGUAGGAUUAGCUAGUUGGUGUGGUAAAGGCGCACCAAGGCGACGAUCCUUAGCUGGUCUGAGAGGAUGAUCAGCCACACUGGGACUGAGACACGGCCCAGACUCCUACGGGAGGCAGCAGUGGGGAAUAUUGGACAAUGGGCGAAAGCCUGAUCCAGCAAUGCCGCGUGAGUGAUGAAGGCCUUAGGGUUGUAAAGCUCUUUUACCCGGGAUGAUAAUGACAGUACCGGAAGAAUAAGCACCGGCUAACUACGUGCCAGCCGCCGCCGUAA